rnacentral:rRNA from 1 species
UGCAAGCGUUAAUCGGAAUUACUGGGCGUAAAGCGUGCGCAGGCGGUUAUGCAAGACAGAGGUGAAAUCCCCGGGCUCAACCUGGGAACUGCCUUUGUGACUGCAUGGCUAGAGUACGGUAGAGGGGGAUGGAAUUCCGCGUGUAGCAGUGAAAUGCGUAGAUAUGCGGAGGAACACCGAUGGCGAAGGCAAUCCCCUGGACCUGUACUGACGCUCAUGCACGAAAGCGUGGGGAGCAAACAGGAUUAGAUACCCUGGUAG